AGGGUUCGAUUCUGGCUCAGGAUGAACGCUAGCGACAGGCCUAACACAUGCAAGUCGAGGGGCAGCGAAGAGGUAGCAAUACCUUUGUCGGCGACCGGCGCACGGGUGAGUAACACGUAUGCAAUCCACCUGUAACAGGGGGAUAACCCGGAGAAAUCCGGACUAAUACCCCAUAAUAUGGGCGCUCCGCAUGGAGAGCCCAUUAAAGAGAGCAAUUUUGGUUACAGACGAGCAUGCGCUCCAUUAGCCAGUUGGCGGGGUAACGGCCCACCAAAGCGACGAUGGAUAGGGGUUCUGAGAGGAAGGUCCCCCACAUUGGAACUGAGACACGGUCCAA
rnacentral:rRNA from 1 species